UACGUAGGGUGCGAGCGUUGUCCGGAAUUACUGGGCGUAAAGAGCUCGUAGGUGGUUUGUCGCGUUGUUCGUGAAAACUCACAGCUUAACUGUGGGCGUGCGGGCGAUACGGGCAGACUGGAGUACUGCAGGGGAGACUGGAAUUCCUGGUGUAGCGGUGGAAUGCGCAGAUAUCAGGAGGAACACCGGUGGCGAAGGCGGGUCUCUGGGCCGAUACUGACGCUGAGGAGCGAAAGCAUGGGUAGCGAACAGG
rnacentral:rRNA from 1 species